GGAGUUGUGGCACUGACGGAGCCCCGUGACGUGAGGCGCAGGGAUCUCAGAGGGUGGAGCCGCAGACGCACACGCACAAAGACAGUUCUCGACAAGAUGGAACCAGGAGUCAUUUCAGAAAAUCCAGAAUCCUGCUUUUCUCUGUUGUGGAAGAACUGUGCAAAGAGCUUGAGCAAUUGAAGAAUGGACAGGAUGUUCCCGUUUGCAAGCUGCUUCAGUUAUUUCUUUUGAACAACUUUCUAUCUCAAUUUUCUUAUUUUCCCAAUUGGGAAUGGUAAUCACGUUUAAAUUCAGGAAGAUUUAGUCCUCUGAAGUGUGUGUAGUCAGCCGUUUGCCUUUUCAUUUCUGUUGCCCUAAAUUGUGCAAAUACUGAGUCGUCGCGUUUUAAAUUCAGGAAAAUGCAGUCCUCUAGCUGAAUUGUGCAAACAGUGAGGCAGGGGACUGCUUAUAUUUUACACAGCUGGCACAAGCAGAUACCUGGAAGGCCAGUGUAGUCACUAUUGUGUGAUAAGGUGGAUGAUACCGUGUCAGCUAAAACCCUCCCUCCCGGGACAACACUAUAGCCAGUUAUGCAUUCCUAUGUGAGGCCCUGUCUCCAGUUAGUCAAUACACAUGAAUUCAUAUCAGACCAUGAGGUGGAGUACUGUGUUAAAAGCCAGUGGUUUUGCUGGACGCCUCAUCAGAAAGUUGUGUGAGGAAUCAAUGAAUGCAAGUGAGAACUCAGCUAAAUUUCUGGCUUACAUGUGUGUUGUUUUGGUUGCUGGUAGGCAAAUGUGUUUUGCUUUCUGGUCAAUGUUGCUAGUUAGCAUGUUUAGCCUUCCACAUUUUAUGGGUUUCUUGAAGACACUUCCUUGUGUUAAAUGAAGGAAUGCACUGAUAGCAAAUUAUCUGAUAGAAAAUCACCCAGAUUUUCUUGUCCUUUUACUUCUACCUGUCAUGUGCAGUGUGGUAUUCUGGUCUUUCAAAAUAAAAUAAAAAAAUAAAAACACUUUAAAAUGG